CCCCAUAUAAACCCUUUCCACCUUACAUUUCUCACCGACCACGUGAUACCUUAUUACGCCUUUUUUCUCUCUUAGAACCGAAACCGAAACAAGUACCCAUUGAUUUUUGUACCUUAACAAAUGGUUCCUGAAGAAGAAAAAUCUCCAAAAUCGCCUCGUAAACCUUCCGAUUCAUCUUCUACGUCGGAAUCGGAGGCGACUCCAUCCUUGUUACAGCCAUUGAUGGGUUCUCGACUGUUCCCUACUAUGGAGGAUUUGAGCUACUCUGAGUCUCCUUUAUCUGCGCCGAUCCCUUAUCCUUUAAUGGAAUUCGGAGCAUUCUCUGUCAUAGAACAAUCAGUUUAUUCUCCUUCGGAGAUUUUUGAAUUCAAAACAAAUCCUAUAUCUGAAACUGAAAGAGCCCCUACUGAACUAGCUAGUGGAGUAUAUACAGGUGAUUACGCGGAGGAGAACAUUGGGAUGCCUCAUCCUCUUGCCAGCUUACAGGAGAAUCCUAUGCCGCCGUUUCUCUCGAAAACUUAUGAUCUGGUAAACGAUCGGACGCUGGACCCGAUAAUCUCGUGGGGGACCACAGGGGAAAGCUUUGUGGUGUGGGACCCAGUGGAAUUCGCUAGGGUCAUACUGCCUCG
rnacentral:misc_RNA from 1 species